GGACCCUUAGCUCAGCAGGUUAGAGCAAAUGACUCAUAAUCAUUAGGUCCACGGUUCGAGCCCGUGAGGGUCCA
rnacentral:tRNA from 1 species